rnacentral:rRNA from 1 species
UGGGGAAUUUUGCACAAUGGGCGCAAGCCUGAUGCAGCAACGCCGCGUGAGUGAAGAAGGCCCUUGGGUUGUAAAGCUCUUUCGGCUGGGAAGCAGGGGCUCUGGGUAAAUAAUCCAGAGUUCUGACGGUACCAGAAGAAGAAGCACCUGCUAACUACGUGCCAGCAGCAGCGGUAAUACGUAGGGUGCAAGCGUUGUUCGGAAUUACUGGGCGUAAAGAGCACGUAGGUGGGCUUGUAAGUCGGUUGUGAAAGCCCGGGGCUCAACUCCGGAUGUGCAGUCGAAACUACAAGUCUUGAAUGCCUGAGAGGGUGGCGGAAUUCCUGGUGUAGAUGUGAAAUUCGUAGAUAUCAGGAGGAACACCGGCGGCGAAGGCGGCUGCCUGGCAGUGCAUUGACGCUGAGGUGCGAAAGUGCGGGGAGCAAACAGG